rnacentral:piRNA from 1 species
CUCAGUAUGUAGAUCAGGCUGGC